rnacentral:rRNA from 1 species
GACGAACGCUGGCGGCGUGCUUAACACAUGCAAGUCGAACGGUAAGGCCCUUCGGGGUACACGAGUGGCGAACGGGUGAGUAACACGCGGGUGAUCUGCCCUGCACUUCGGGAUAAGCCUGGGAAACUGGGUCUAAUACCGGAUAGGACCACUGCCUGCAUGGGUGGUGGUGGAAAGCUUUUGCGGUGUGGGAUGGGCCCGCGGCCUAUCAGCUUGUUGGUGGGGUGAUGGCCUACCAAGGCGACGACGGGUAGCCGGCCUGAGGGGGUGACCGGCCACACUGGGAGUGAGAUACGGCCCAGACUCCUACGGGGGGCAGCAGUGGUGAAUAUUGCACAAGGGGCGCAAGCCUGAUGCAGCGACGCCGCGUGAGGGAUGACGGCCUUCGGGUUGUAAACCUCUUUCAGCACCGACGAAGCGCAAGUGACGGUAGGUGCAGAAGAAGGACCGGCCAACUACGUGCCAGCCGCCGCGGUAA